GAUGAACGCUAGCUGCGUGCCUAAUACAUGCAAGUCGAGCGAACGGACGAGAAGCUUGCUUCUCUGAUGUUAGCGGCGGAAGGGUGAGUAACACGUGGAUAACCUACCUAUAAGACUGGGAUAACUUCGGGAAACCGGAGCUAAUACCAGAUAAUAUUUUGAACCGCAUGGUUCCAAAGUGAAAGACGGUCUUGCUGUCACUUAUAGAUGGAUCCGCGCUGCAUUAGCUAGUUGGUAAGGUAACGGCUUACCAAGGCAACGAUGCAUAGCCGACCUGAGAGGGUGAUCGGCCACACUGGAACUGAGACACGGUCCAGACUCCUACGGGAGGCAGCAGUAGGGAAUCUUCCGCAGUGGGCGAAAGCCUGACGGAGCAACGCCGCGUGAGUGAUGAAGGUCCUCGGAUCGUAAAACUCUGUUAUUAGGGAAGAACAUAUGUGUAAGUAACUGUGCACAUCUUGACGGUACCUAAUCAGAAAGCCACGGCUAACUACGUG
rnacentral:rRNA from 1 species